CUCAUCUGGCAGCUUGUUCCAUACACCCUUUGUAUCAAAAGUUACCCCUCAGAUUCCUUUUAAAUCUUUCCCCCUUCAAUUCAAUUUCCCCUCAUUUCACCUGCCAACCAUUGUGUGCUUUGCUGUACCAUAACGGGGCUUGAAUGGAGUAGAUGGGAGGUGGAUUGGGCAGUGAGCAGGGGUAAGAGAGUAAAGGGAUUGUGAAGUAGGCAAGGAGGGAGUUCAGUUUAAUUUAUUGUCACGUGUACCGAGGUACAGUGAAAAGCUUUUGUUGCGUGCUAACCAGUCAGCAGAAAUACACACGAUUACAAUCGAGCCGUCUACAGCGUAUGGAUUCAUAAUGUUUAAUGCAAGGUAAAGCCAGCAAAGUCCGAUCAAGGAUAGUUUGAUGAGGUAGGUGGUAGUUCAGCGCUGCUCUCUGCAAGUGGGCCUAAGGAUAGGGGUGGAGAGAGAAGGGAAACUGAUGAUAACAUGCGAGCAAGGAUGUGCUGGUGAUGAAGCUGCAGCAUUGACGUACCUGGUGCGGUGUGAACGAA